AGAGUUUGAUCAUGGCUCAGAAUCAACGCUGGCGGCGCGCUUAACACAUGCAAGUCGAACGAGAAAGCCCGCAAGGGUGAGUAAAGUGGCGUACGGGUGAGUAACACGUGGGUAAUCUACCCUCUGGUGGGGAAUAACUCUGGGAAACCGGAGCUAAUACCGCAUAAGACCGGCCAUGAAAGUGGUUUGGUGAAAGGGCGAAAGUUCGCCGGAGGAGGAGCCCGCGGCUGAUUAGCUAGUUGGUGAGGUAAGAGCUCACCAAGGCUGAGAUCGGUAGCCGGCCUGAGAGGGCACACGGCCACACUGGCACUGAAACACGGGCCAGACUCCUACGGGAGGCAGCAGUGGGGAAUCUUGCACAAUGGAGGAAACUCUGAUGCAGCGACGCCGCGUGAGUGAUGAAGCCCUUCGGGGUGUAAAGCUCUUUCGACCCGGAAGAUUAUGACGGUACGGGGAGAAGAAGCUGCGGCUAACUACGUGCCAGCAGCCGCGGUA
rnacentral:rRNA from 1 species